GAUGAACGCUGGCGGCGUGCCUAAUACAUGCAAGUAGAACGCUGAAGGAGGAGCUUGCUCUUCUGGAUGAGUUGCGAACGGGUGAGUAACGCGUAGGUAACCUGCCUGGUAGCGGGGGAUAACUAUUGGAAACGAUAGCUAAUACCGCAUGACAACAGUUAUUGCAUGAUAACUGUUUAAAAGGGGCAACUGCUCCACUACCAGAUGGACCUGCGUUGUAUUAGCUAGUUGGUGAGGUAACGGCUCACCAAGGCGACGAUACAUAGCCGACCUGAGAGGGGGAUCGGCCACACUGGGACUGAGACACGGCCCAGACUCCUACGGGAGGCAGCAGUAGGGAAUCUUCGGCAAUGGACGGAAGUCUGACCGAGCAACGCCGCGUGAGUGAAGAAGGUUUUCGGAUCGUAAAGCUCUGUUGUAAGAGAAGAACGAGUGUGAGAGUGGAAAGUUCACACUGUGACGGUAUCUUACCAGAAAGGGACGGCUAACUACGUG
rnacentral:rRNA from 1 species